rnacentral:rRNA from 1 species
GACGUAGGUGGCGAACGUUAUCCGGAAUUAUUGGGCGUAAAGGGUGCGUAGGCGGCAUGAUAAGUUAUUGGCGGCAAAUCGAGGCUCAACCUCGUGGAAACUGAUAAUACUGUCUUGCUUGAGUGCAGAAGAGGUUGACGGAACUCCAUGUGGAGCGGUAAAAAUGUGUAGAUAUAUGGAAGAACAUCAAUAACGGCGAAGGCAGUUAACUAUUCUGUUACUGACGUUUGAGGCACGAAAAGCGUGGGGGAGCAAAAAAGG